GACGAACGCUGGCGGCGUGCUUAACACAUGCAAGUCGAACGGAAAGGCCUCUUUCGGGGGGUACUCGAGUGGCGCACGGGUGAGUCACACGUGAGUACCCCGCCCUUCACUUUGGUAUCACUUCAGAAAACUGGGGCUAAUACCGGAUAGGCGCCCCUGCUGCAGGGUGGGGGUUGGAGAUUUUCGGCGGUUGUGGAUGGACUCGCGGCCUAUCAGCUUGUUGGUGGGGUAGUGGCUUACCAAGGCGUUGACGGGUAGCCGGCCUGAGAGGGUGACCGGCCACAUUGGGACUGAGAUACGGCCCAGACUCCUACGGGAGGCAGCAGUGGGGAAUAUUGCACAAGGGGUGGAAGCCUGAUGCAGCAACGCCGCGUGCGGGAUGACGGCCUUCGGGUUGUAAACCGCUUUCAGUCAUGACGAAGCUUUGUGUGACGGUAGUUGGAGAAGAAGCACUGGCUAACUACGUG
rnacentral:rRNA from 1 species